GACGUAGGUGGCGAACGUUAUCCGGAAUUAUUGGGCGUAAAGGGUGCGUAGAUGGCUUGAUAAGUUAGCAGUGGGAAAUCGAGGCUCAACCUCGUGGAAGCUGGUAAUACUGUCAGGCUCGAGUGCAGGAGAGGUUAACGGAACUCCAUGUGGAGCGGUAAAAUGUGUAGAUAUAUGGAAGAACAUCAAUAACGGCGAAGGCAGUUAACUAUUCUGUUACUGACAUUGAGGCACGAAAGCGUGGGGAGCAAAACGG
rnacentral:rRNA from 1 species